CUUGGCGGCCAUAGCGCGGUGGUCCCACCUGAUCCCAUGCCGAACUCAGAAGUGAAACGCCGUAGCGCCGA
rnacentral:rRNA from 1 species